rnacentral:misc_RNA from 1 species
AAGUCGUAACAAGGUUUCCGUAGGUGAACCUGCGGAAGGAUCAUUAACACUAUAAACAAAUGCGAAAGCAUUUUCGGGAUUGAGUCUGCAAAGAUUCUUUUUCGAUUUUGCUUUUGCUGUCCAAACUCACCCAAACUUUAUUGAAAGUGCUGGUUUGAUUUUCUUGCGAAAAUCUAACUUUUUUCUUUCCAUUUUUUUUUUUAACAAAACCCCAAAUCUUUCUUUGCUAAUGCAAAUGACAAUUACAAAAACUUAAAAACUACUUUAACGUAACCAAACAACUCUUAGCAACGGAUAUCUUGGCUCUC